GUCGAAGUGGCGAAAUUGGCAGACGCACCAGCUUGAGGGGCUGGCGCCCGAAAGGGCGUGGGGGUUCAAGUCCCCCCUUCGACACCA
rnacentral:tRNA from 1 species